rnacentral:lncRNA from 1 species
GCUUCUGGAGUCUUCUAGAUGUAAGAUAAUUGUGCGGCACGUUAAUAUCUCUAUGUAAUCCCGACGUGUGGGCCUUUCUUCCGUAUUUCCUAAUAACCCCCUGCAGAAAUAGACAAACACCAAAACUCGUGGAAUUCUGUCAGAUAAAACCCUAAGUCUAGAUGUUGAUUUCAUUUGGAUCCUUUUCUUUAUUUAUUUGAUAAUUAAAUUUGAUACUUAAGGACCGUCAACAAACUCCCCCAAGCUUACCUCUUGCUCGUCCCUGAGCAAGGAUAGACUCAGCUAUGGAUCAUAAGUUGUUGCAAUAUCUUAAAAAUUGACGGUACACAUGCUUUUUAAAUAAGAUCUCAUCUCUGGGUUAGAGUGAACUGUCAAGACUUAAAACUUACUUACUUUACCUACACCAUGGGACUUGUAACUGUCACUUCUGUCUUGAGUAGUUAAAAGAUAGAACAGUCUAGCCAAGUGCCAUGUCUCUUAUUCUUGAUCAGCUAUAGCUCUGAAGUUUUUGCAGAUUUUCAAAUAAAACUUAGAGAUUCCUUGUAUGAUUCUCUCAGAUCUCUCUUUUGUGGUAUUUCUGGAUCCUUACCAAGGCAGUGAUGGUAUAUGCCUUCUCUCAAGAUAUGUAGUAUUUAUGGUAUAAAGCAUAGUGACAUUGUCUUCUCUCUCACCCUACUCUAAUAAGGCUUUUAAUAUCUGGAGCUCAUAGGUGGGAGAUAAAGUAUACAUACUUACAAGACAUUUAUUGUAUAGUCAAACCAUGGAUCCAAAGAAACAAAUCAAUAAGUCAAAUCAAGAUGUGCAUAUGUGGCGAAUGAAUGGUGUAUGGUGAUGAUGGUGAUAACAAUGGUGAAAGUCUAAUUCUACUUUGCUCUUUUGAGGGGAUACAUACCUUCCUUGCUUUCUGAAAUUUUAUGAGGAGAAUGAGAUGCUCUAUCUUUUUUUUCUUUUCUCUCAGGUGGGUAUCUUGUACCCCUAAUUCUACUGUCGGACACUUGUCCAUUUUUACCUCUCGUCUCACUUUUUCUUUUCUUUCGAGGUUCCGGGCACUUACCCCUUUUUAUUUCCUCGUAUUUUCUUUUUUUUAGAGCACUCAUCUCAUGAGAUAAUAUAGUUGUGGUAGUAAAAAGAUAACUUGAGCAUUUAUUUCCCAGGGGAAAAACAGAAAUAUUUUUGGUUAUUCUCUCCCGGAUUGGGAGUAGAAUAUUUUUGGGUGAUUCUGGAGAUGGACAUGGUUGGAUAUAUGUGGAUGGUAUUUCCGGAGUAGAAGUAGCAUAUAUGAGUGAACGUGCAAGUGAAAUCUUGAUUUAACCACAUGACAAGCUCCUAAGGGUCUACACAGCUUGACCACACUCAAUGCUCAUAAGCAGUAAAUAGUACAUGUAUGGCUCAAAGUCUAGCAAGCAUGUAUAUAUGGCUGUGGUAGGAAUUUAAACUCUCAUCAUACAGGAACUCAUCAUGCAACAUUUUAAAGAUUUUCAAAGAUAAAAUUCUCCAGAAUUCUAGCAUCUCUAGGAACAGAUAAACAGCAGCUCAACCUUCCCAUAUCAUAUCCGUUAACAACUUAGACUUCAGAUCAAGUUUUCAUCCCACAAGUUUAGGUCUAGAGCAAGCUUUAAAUUAUAACAGUUAUAUCUAAACUUGAGAGAGAACUUAAAAUGUGCAAAUUAGGCAGAGCAACUAUUCAUCAUAUCCAUGCUAGAGUUUUAUUUAGGUACAGAUUAGCAUAGCCACUUUAUUUAUUUAUUAAACACACUAAGCAAAAGGCAAAUAUAUAAGUAUAAGCAUAAAAUCUUUAUUUGUUUUUUCAUAAUUAUGUAUAUCUAUAUUUUAAUAUAGUAUAAGUAUAAAGAUAGAUAGAAAUACUUAGGGGGAUAAAUGAGGGUGCUCUCCCCCAAGCUGAAUUUUGACGUAAUUUCCCUUGAUGUAGCUAGUAGGUGGCAAAGGAGUAUUUGAAAGUCAGCAGCAUUCUAACAGCGAUUAGAAUGUCCUCCGUCUGCUAGUCUUCUUAAUUCAUAGAUUCUGUGGAGCUCAAAUAGACAACAAAGCUUGUGGAACUGAUUAAGUGUUAGCAUAAAUAUCUAGCCUUUAUCAUGUUGAGACUCUUUAAUAAUUGUUACUCCUUGUUUUUAUAUUUUCAUUUUAUAAAGCAGAAAAAUAUUUAUUUUAUUUUUAUGCCACCACAGUAAAUGUACUGAUGGGUUUUAUGCCACUCGUAUACUCACGUGGGGCUUACUGUUUUUUCACAUUUUUAUUUUAUUUUUAAGAUAGUAUGAACAUGAUUAACUAAGUAAACUAGUUGAAAUAAUUGAAAGGGAAAGGAUAACUACCAAGUUUACCUCUUGGCAAGGCGUUCAGUGUUUUCAAGUCCUCCGAACGGGACUCUCCAUUUUCUCAAUUGUCCUGGGAUUCGUUGGGUGGCGGAGUCGGUACUUCCGGCGGUGCCUCCUCUUCACGUAUAGUUAUCUUCUCUUUCCACACCUGACUCAGUGCUUCGGUCUCCUCGCAAAACGUCUUGUAGAUGUAAGAUAAUUGUGCGGCACGUUAAUAUCUCUAUGUAAUCCCGACGUGUGGGCCUUUCUUCCGUAUUUCCUGAUAACCCCCUGCAGAAAUAGACAAACACCAAAACUCGUGGAAUUCUGUCAGAUAAAACCCCAAGUCUAGAUGUUGAUUUCAUUUGGAUCCUUUUCUUUAUUUAUUUGAUAAUUAAAUUUGAUACUUAAGGACCGUCAACAAUAAGCUUGAUAAUCCCUUUGUUAGAUGCCUCGGCCUGCCCAUUAGCUUGAGCAUAGUAAGGAGAAGAAUUUAAUACUUUAAUUCCCAUACCGAUUGCAAAUUCAUCAAACUCCCCCGAUGUGAACAUAGUGCCCUGAUCGGUAGUAAUUGUCUGAGGAAUUCCAAAUCGGUAAAUGAUGUGCUCUUUCACAAAAUCAAUCAUAUUGGCCGAUGUAACUUUCUUCAAGGGAAU